rnacentral:rRNA from 1 species
UUCUUAUAGAUUUAAUUAUAAGUAAAAUCUGCUCAAUGAAACAUAAAUAGCCGCAGAAUUUUUACUGUGCUAAGGUAGCAUAAUCAUUUGCCUUUUAAUUAAAGGCUAGAAUGAAUGAUUCAACAUUUAAAUUUUUCUAUACACCUUUUAAUAUUAAAUUUAUUUAAAAUGUAAAAAAACAUUUAUACAUAAGAAAGACGACAAGACCCUAUCGAACUUCACUUUAGUUUAGCUGGGGCAGCUAAUUAAUUAAUCUCUUAAUUAUAUUAAUUAAAUAAAUAGACCCAAUAUAAUUGAUAUAAUGAUCAAGUUACCGUAGGGAUAACAGCGUAAUAAUUAUUUAAAGCUCUUAUUUAAAAAAAAGAUUGCGACCUCGAUGUUGAAUUGAUACACCUAUUAAAUGCAACAACUUAAAAAGGAGGUCUGUUCGACCUUUAAUUUAUCACAUGAUCUGAGC